rnacentral:rRNA from 1 species
AGUCGAGCGAUGAGACUCCUACGGGAGCACAUCAGCGGCAGACGGGUGAGUAACACGUAGAUGACGUACCCUCAAGACGGGGAUAACGGAUGGAAACAUGCGCUAAUACCGGAUGACCUUACGAUGUCAGAAUGGUAAGGAAAGCUACGGCGCUUGAGGAGCGGUCUGCGGCCCAUCAGCUAGUUGGUAGGGUAAAGGCCUACCAAGGCGAAGACGGGUAGGGGGUGUGAGAGCACGGCCCCCCACAAUGGGACUGAGACACGGCCCAUACUCCUACGGGAGGCAGCAGCAGGGAAUAUUGCACAAUGGACGGAAGUCUGAUGCAGCGACGCCGCGUGAGUGAAGAAGGCCUUCGGGUUGUAAAACUCUUUUGAGGGGGAAGAGCGAGGACGGUACCCCUGGAAUAAGCGUCGGCUAACUACGUGCCAGCAGCCGCGGUAAGACGUAGGACGCGAGCGUUAUCCGGAUUUACUGGGCGUAAAGCGUCUGUAGGCGGAUGUGUAAGUUGGGCGUGACAGCUCCGGGCUUAACCCGGAGAGGCCGUUCAAUACUGCAUAACUUGAGGGUGUCAGAGGGGAGCGGCAUUCCCGGUGUAGCGGUCAAAUGCGCAGAGAUCGGGAGGAACACCAGUGGCGGAGGCGGUUCCCUGGGGCACACCUGACGCUGAG